GGAAAAUAAAGAGGACUUCAGAAAUAAAAAUCUAAAGAUUUUGUUGGAGCUGGGCCUUUCAGCUGAGCCUUUCUACAUGGAGCAGAGAAGGAGCUGGACCAGGCUUGGCCAGUGGCAUCUCAAAAGUCAAAACGAGAAACUUUGAACAAGGUUCUGCCUGAUGUAUACGUGCCUGACAGUGUAGGUGAACUGUCACCUUCAGUUAAUAAAAAGGAAAACUGGAAGCUUCAAGAGGAUUCAUAGAAAAAGGCUCUGUAAUGUAGCCUGAUGUCUAGAGAACUCUUCUGGGAGGAACAUGAAUGAAUUCUCAGAGGAAUAACUCUCCAUGUUUUUAAUAAUGCUGAAUUUUAUAGUGUAACAGAGAAGGUGCAUAUUCUUCCAAGAAUCUUUUGAAAGAAAACAGAGACAGCCUGUCUAUUU